GACGAACGCUGGCGGCGUGCUUAACACAUGCAAGUCGAACGGAAAGGCCCUGCUUUUGUGGGGUGCUCGAGUGGCGAACGGGUGAGUAACACGUGAGUAACCUGCCCUUGACUUUGGGAUAACUUCAGGAAACUGGGGCUAAUACCGGAUAGGAGCUCCUGCUGCAUGGUGGGGGUUGGAAAGUUUCGGCGGUUGGGGAUGGACUCGCGGCUUAUCAGCUUGUUGGUGGGGUAGUGGCCUACCAAGGCUUUGACGGGUAGCCGGCCUGAGAGGGUGACCGGCCACAUUGGGACUGAGAUACGGCCCAGACUCCUACGGGAGGCAGCAGUGGGGAAUAUUGCACAAUGGGCGGAAGCCUGAUGCAGCAACGCCGCGUGCGGGAUGACGGCCUUCGGGUUGUAAACCGCUUUCGCCUGUGACGAAGCGUGAGUGACGGUAAUGGGUAAAGAAGCACCGGCUAACUACGU
rnacentral:rRNA from 1 species